rnacentral:rRNA from 1 species
UACGUAGGGUGCAAGCGUUUGUCCGGAAUUAUUGGGCGUAAAGAGCUCGUAGGCGGUCUGUCGCGUCGGAUGUGAAAAUCCAGGGCUCAACCCUGGACCUGCAUUCGAUACGGGCAGACUAGAGUUCGGUAGGGGAGACUGGAAUUCCUGGUGUAGCGGUGAAAUGCGCAGAUAUCAGGAGGAACACCCAUUGCGAAGGCAGCUCGCUGGGACGUUACUGACGCUGAGGUGCGAAAGCGUGGGGAGCAAACAGG